UACGGAGGGUGCAAGCGUUAUCCGGAUUUACUGGGUUUAAAGGGUGUGUAGGCGGGCUUUUAAGUCAGCGGUGAAAUCCCUCGGCUCAACCGAGGAACUGCGUCCGAUACUGGCAGGCUGGAAUCCGGGAGAGGGAUGUGGAAUUCCAGGUGUAGCGGUGAAAUGCGUAGAUAUCUGGAGGAACACCGGUGGCGAAGGCGGCAUCCUGGACCGGUAUUGACGCUGAGGCGCGAAAGCUAGGGGAGCAAACGGG
rnacentral:rRNA from 1 species